rnacentral:snoRNA from 1 species
ACUCCAUGGUGUGGACAUUUUCGUUGCAAGAUCCUUGAAUCUUUCCCAGGCAUCAUGAAGCGUUUCGUUGUCACGUUGCUUGAAGCUAGUGAUGUCAGUUCUCAGCUU